rnacentral:rRNA from 1 species
AUGUUGGAACAGGCCAUGAAUGGGAAACCUUCAGAGUAUCUAUCAUUCAUCCAUGUCUGGCAGUGGCACAGUAGAAGAGAAGGGCACUCACAAGUACUGGAGGUCUCUGAGGCGGCUCACGGAGCCGGGGAUUUCGCCGGAGAAGUGGUUGCUGGAGAGGUCAAGCGUCCUAAGCUUCGUGAGCCUGCCAAUCUCUGCCGGGAUUCGGCCAUUGAUGUUGUUGUUCUGCAGCAGGCUGUGAACAAGAGAAGAGGGAGAAGAAAAGGUAAGGAAGAUCUCUUCCAGCCCAAAAGAAACAUAGUCCCAUGUGUUCUCAAAAGAAAAAAAGGAACAGACAUACAGUGGUGGUUUGCAAGGCUAAUGAUGGCAAGAGAAACUCACACUAUCUCGAGAUUGGUCAGAUUGCCUAUGCUCGGGGAGAGCAGGCCCGAGAGGUUCUGGCUUGGAGCUUCCCUGAGAGAACAAAUUGGAACAGCCAGAUGA